GUUUGACUGGUACUGUAUAUUUAUUUUUUAUUGGUCUGCGAGCCUACAAAAGGGGGGCUGGCCUGCGGCCCAUCCCUGCUUUAUGAGUACUAUUUCACUCAACUGUCUCUUUCCAUUCCUCUGUCUCUUUCAUCAAUGCUGCUGUGAAUCUAUGAAUCACUUUCAAGUGUACAGUUAUGCAUUGACUGUGCUCCCUUAUGGCUCAGGUGGACCAGGCUGCUGCAGGCAUCCUGGCCCUGGGUUUGAAGAGGGGGGACAGACUGGGCAUGUGGGGACCCAACACAUGAGUGGGUCCUGUUCUAGUUUGACACAGCCAAGGCUGGCAUCAUACUGGUAUACACUGACACUGAUGGCAUGUAGAAGGAGGAAUCUUAAUGUGGGAAAAGUGUUAGUUUUUGCACCCUCUUCGUGUGUACAUUAAAGAAGAUGUUUUCAGUGGUUAUGUUUUGUUCUGUUAACCCAACCUAUCAGGUGCAGGAGUUUCAGUUUGCUUCGAGGAAGGUGGGUCAUUUGAGUUGGCAGUCAUUUCAUGUCAUAUAUUUUGUUCUAUGAGAACAGUACUGGGUGUGGUGCGCUUAAGUAGGAUGGGCCGCUGAUUGCUUUUGAAACAUUUUAUGAUGAUGAUAAUGAUGUUGAUGUUCAUUGGUGGUAAUACGUGUUAUGCAGUUGUAAUGCAAGCAGGUGAAUGUAAUAUUCUCUUCUUUGCUGGUUUUGACCCAGGUGGGAUGCAAUGCCAUUAUGUGCCCGACCCAGUUUAAGACCCAGAAGUAUUGUGGCAUUCUCAGAUAGAGAAUCCCUGGAUCUAUCCCUGGAUCUGUCAAGAGUGCCAGGUGUACCUUUGUCUACGGCAAUCCUACUAUGUACAUCGACAUGCUGGGCCAGCCUGACUUGGCCAAGUUCGACUUGUCGUCAGUGGAGGGAGAUUGCCUAUGGAACUAUGGAGAACAGACCUGUGACAUUCUGUGGCUUCCCAUGAGACAACUUGGUGAGAAAGUCACAAACUUGGAUGCAUUACCAAUAACUUAGAGGCUAAGGUAGUUGACCCUGGCUCUGGAGAGCUCAAGCCUCUUCAGGGACUACUGUAUGAUGCUGGAGUACUGGGAAGGCCGUUGCCAAGACAGACGAGUGCAUCACCAAAGAAUCAAAGCCAUUGUGUUGAGCUCAAUUGUACCAACAUUUUUGCAGAACCCGUUGGACCAAUGUUAUGUUUUAGCAGGCACAGGUUAACAGGAAAGGGAGGCCAUGUACAGCAAAGUGCUUUACACAGCACAGUCAACUAAACACCGACAGCCAAAAGAUUUUGUACUAUUUUUAGGACCAACCCUGAUUAUCUUGUGACAGCUUUGAAAACCACCUCAUCAAUCUGUGACUGUGACAAGCUGUGACAAUCUGUGACAAGCUGCUUUUUACACCAAAUAAAGGUUUUACACUUUUUA